UACGAGGGGUCCUAGCGUUGUUCGGAAUCAUUGGGCGUAAAGCGGGUGUAGGCGGCUUUGUAAGUCAGAAGUGAAAGCCCUGGGCUCAACCCGGGAAGUGCUUUUGAUACUGCAAGGCUUGAGUGUGGGAGAGGAUAGUAGAAUUCCUGGUGUAGUGGUGAAAUACGUAGAUAUCAGGAGGAAUACCGGUGGCGAAGGCGGCUAUCUGGCCCAACACUGACGCUCAGACCCGAAAGCGUGGGUAGCAAACAGG
rnacentral:misc_RNA from 1 species